GAAUCCAUAGGUUAAUGAGGCGAACCGGGGGAACUGAAACAUCUAAGUACCCCGAGGAAAAGAAAUCAACCGAGAUUCCCCCAGUAGCGGCGAGCGAACGGGGAGGAGCCCAGAGCCUGAAUCAGUGUGUGUGUUAGUGGAAGCGUCUGGAAAGGCGCGCGAUACAGGGUGACAGCCCCGUACACAAAAAUGCACAUGCUGUGAGCUCGAUGAGUAGGGCGGGACACGUGGUAUCCUGUCUGAAUAUGGGGGGACCAUCCUCCAAGGCUAAAUACUCCUGACUGACCGAUAGUGAACCAGUACCGUGAGGGAAAGGCGAAAAGAACCCCGGCGAGGGGAGUGAAAAAGAACCUGAAACCGUGUACGUACAAGCAGUGGGAGCACGCUUAGGCGUGUGACUGCGUACCUUUUGUAUAAUGGGUCAGCGACUUAUAUUCUGUAGCAAGGUUAACCGAAUAGGGGAGCCGAAGGGAAACCGAGUCUUAACUGGGCGUUAAGUUGCAGGGUAUAGACCCGAAACCCGGUGAUCUAGCCAUGGGCAGGUUGAAGGUUGGGUAACACUAACUGGAGGACCGAACCGACUAAUGUUGAAAAAUUAGCGGAUGACUUGUGGCUGGGGGUGAAAGGCCAAUCAAACCGGGAGAUAGCUGGUUCUCCCCGAAAGCUAUUUAGGUAGCGCCUCGUGAAUUCAUCUCCGGGGGUAGAGCACUGUUUCGGCAAGGGGGUCAUCCCGACUUACCAACCCGAUGCAAACUGCGAAUACCGGAGAAUGUUAUCACGGGAGACACACGGCGGGUGCUAACGUCCGUCGUGAAGAGGGAAACAACCCAGACCGCCAGCUAAGGUCCCAAAGUCAUGGUUAAGUGGGAAACGAUGUGGGAAGGCCCAGACAGCCAGGAUGUUGGCUUAGAAGCAGCCAUCAUUUAAAGAAAGCGUAAUAGCUCACUGGUCGAGUCGGCCUGCGCGGAAGAUGUAACGGGGCUAAACCAUGCAC
rnacentral:rRNA from 1 species